CACGUAGGGCGCAAGCGUUGUCCGGAAUUAUUGGGCGUAAAGAGCUCGUAGGCGGGUCUGUUGCGUCCGCUGUGAAAACCCGGGGCUUAACCCCUGGCUUGCAGUGGAUACGGACAGACUAGAGGUAGGUAGGGGAGAAUGGGAAUUCCCGGUGUAGCGGUGAAAUGCGCAGAUAUCGGGAGGAACACCGGUGGCGAAGGCGGUUCUCUGGACAGUUCCUGACGCUGAGGCGCGAGGGCCAGGGGAGCAAACGGGG
rnacentral:rRNA from 1 species